UUGUACAUUUAGGGAGGCGAGGGGCGCUGAGAUCCCAUCAGAACUUCGAAGUUAAAUGUGCUUGGGCGAGAGUAGUAGUAAGAUGGGUGACCUCUUGGGAAAUCCUCAUGUUGCACCCC
rnacentral:rRNA from 1 species